rnacentral:tRNA from 1 species
UGCGGGGUGGAGCAGAUGGUAGCUCGUCGGGCUCAUAACCCGAAGGUCGCAGGUUCAAAUCCUGCCCCCGCCACCA